UACGUAGGGUGCGAGCGUUUAAUCGGAAUUACUGGGCGUAAAGCGUGCGUAGGCGGUUCCUCAAGUCCGUUGUGAAAGCCCCGGGCUCAACCUGGGAAUGGCAGUGGAAACUAGGGGACUGGAAUCUGGCAGAGGGGGGUGGAAUGCCGCGUGUAGCAGUGAAAUGCGUAGAGAUGCGGCGGAACACCGAUGGCGAAGGCAGCCCCCUGGGCUGAGAUUGACGCUCAGGCACGAAAGCGUGGGGAGCAAACAGG
rnacentral:rRNA from 1 species